UUACGGUCAUAAUAGCGUUGAAAUACAAGUUCACAUAGGAUCACCGAAGUUAAGCAACGUUGAGUCUGAUCAGUACCUAGAUGGGUGACCGUUUGUGAAUUCCAGGUGCUGUAA